rnacentral:rRNA from 1 species
AUGAAGAUGGCGACUUGCAUUCAUAAGGUGGCCUCGGAGGAGUUUGGAGUGUCCAGGGGAAGGAGAAGCGAAGAUAAGGAUACCUGGUGGUGGAAUGAUGAUGUCCAGAAGGCGAUUAAAGAGAAGAAAGAUUGCUUCAGACGCCUAUACUUGGAUAGGAGUGCAGACAACAUAGAGAAGUACAAGAUGGCGAAGAAGGCCGCAAAGCGAGCUGUUGGUGAAGCAAGGGGUCGGGCAUAUGGGGACCUCUACCAACGGUUAGGCACGAAGGAAGGUGAAAGGGACAUCUAUAAGAUGGCUAAGAUCCGGGAGAGGAAGACGAGGGAUAUUGGCCAAGUCAAAUGCAUCAAGGACGGGGCAGGCCAACUCUUGGUGAAGGACGAGGAGAUUAAGCAUAGAUGGCGGGAAUACUUCGACAAGCUGUUCAAUGGGGAGAAUGAGAGUUCUACCAUUGAACUGGACGACUCCUUCGAUGAGACCAGCAUGCGUUUUGUGCGGCGCAUCCAGGAGUCUGAGGUGAAGGAGGCUCUAAAAAGGAUGAAAGGAGGCAAGGCGAUGGGCCCUGAUUGUAUCCCCAUUGAGGUGUGGAAAGGGCUCGGGGACAUAGCGAUAGUAUGGCUAACCAAGCUUUUCAACCUCAUUUUUCGGGCAAACAAGAUGCCAGAAGAAUGGAGACGGAGUAUAUUAGUACCAAUCUUCAAGAACAAGGGGGAUGUUCAGAGUUGUACUAAUUACCGUGGAAUUAAGCUGAUGAGCCAUACAAUGAAGCUAUGGGAGAGAGUCAUUGAGCACCGCUUAAGAAGAAUGACAAGCGUGACCAAAAAUCAGUUUGGUUUCAUGCCUGGGAGGUCGACCAUGGAAGCCAUUUUCUUGGUACGACAACUUAUGGAAAGAUAUAGGGAGCAAAAGAAGGACUUGCAUAUGGUGUUCAUUGACUUGGAGAAGGCCUAUGAUAAGAUACCGCGGAAUGUCAUGUGGUGGGCCUUGGAGAAACACAAAGUUCCAGCAAAGUACAUUACCCUCAUCAAGGACAUGUACAAUAAUGUUGUGACAAGUGUUCGAACAAGUGAUGUCGACACCGAUGACUUCCCGAUUAAGAUAGGACUGCAUCAGGGGUCAGCUUUGAGCCCUUAUCUUUUUGCAUUGGUGAUGGAUGAGGUCACAAGGGAUAUACAAGGAGAUAUCCCAUGGUGUAUGCUCUUUGCGGAUGAUGUGGUGCUAGUUGACGAUAGUCGGACGGGGGUAAAUAGGAAGUUAGAGUUAUGGAGACAAACCUUGGAAUCGAAAGGGUUUAGGCUUAGUAGAACUAAAACCGAGUACAUGAUGUGCGGUUUCAGUCCUACUAGGUGUGAGGAGGAGGAGGUUAGCCUUGAUGGCCAGGUGGUACCUCGGAAGGACACCUUUCGGUAUUUGGGGUCAAUGUUGCAGGAGGAUGGGGGUAUUGAUGAAGAUGUGAACCAUCGAAUCAAAGCCGGAUGGAUGAAGUGGCGCCAAGCUUCUGGCAUUCUCUGUGACAAGAGAGUGCCACAAAAGCUAAAAGGCAAGUUCUACAGGACGGCGGUUCGACCUGCAAUGUUGUAUGGCGCGGAGUGUUGGCCGACUAAAAGGCGACAUGUUCAACAGUUAGGUGUGGCGGAGAUGCGUAUGUUGAGAUGGAUGUGUGGCCACACGAGGAAGGAUCGAGUACGGAAUGAUGAUAUACGAGAUAGAGUUGGGGUAGCACCAAUUGAGGAGAAGCUUGUCCAACAUCGUCUGAGAUGGUUUGGGCAUAUUCAGCGCAGGCCUCCAGAAGCUCCAGUGCAUAGCGGACGGCUAAAGCGUGCGGAGAAUGUCAAGAGAGGGCGGGGUCGACCGAAUUUGACAUGGGAGGAGUCCGUUAAGAGAGACCUGAAGGAUUGGAGUAUCGACAAAGAGCUAGCUAUGGACAGGGGUGCGUGGAAGCUUGCUAUCCAUGUGCCAGAGCCAUGA